rnacentral:rRNA from 1 species
GACGAACGCUGGCGGCGUGCUUAACACAUGCAAGUCGAACGGAAAGGCCCUGCUUUUGUGGGGUGCUCGAGUGGCGAACGGGUGAGUAACACGUGAGUAACCUGCCCUUGACUUUGGGAUAACUUUAGGAAACUGGGGCUAAUACCGGAUAGGAGCUCCUGCUGCAUGGUGGGGGUUGGAAAGUUUCGGCGGUUGGGGAUGGACUCGCGGCUUAUCAGCUUGUUGGUGGGGUAGUGGCUUACCAAGGCUUUGACGGGUAGCCGGCCUGAGAGGGUGACCGGCCACAUGGGGACUGAGAUACGGCCCAGACUCCUACGGGAGGCAGCAGUGGGGAAUAUUGCACAAUGGGCGGAAGCCUGAUGCAGCAACGCCGCGUGCGGGAUGACGGCCUUCGGGUUGUAAACCGCUUUCGCCUGUGACGAAGCGUGAGUGACGGUAAUGGGUAAAGAAGCACCGGCUAACUACGUG